AUUGAACGCUGGCGGCAUGCUUUACACAUGCAAGUCGAACGGCAGCGCGGGCUUCGGCCUGGCGGCGAGUGGCGAACGGGUGAGUAAUACAUCGGAACGUGCCCAGUAGAGGGGGAUAGCUCGGCGAAAGCCGGAUUAAUACCGCAUACGACCUGAGGGUGAAAGCGGGGGAUCUUCGGACCUCGCGCUAUUGGAGCGGCCGAUGGCAGAUUAGCUAGUUGGUGGGGUAAAGGCCUACCAAGGCGACGAUCUGUAGCUGGUCUGAGAGGACGACCAGCCACACUGGGACUGAGACACGGCCCAGACUCCUACGGGAGGCAGCAGUGGGGAAUUUUGGACAAUGGGCGAAAGCCUGAUCCAGCAAUGCCGCGUGUGUGAUGAAGGCCUUCGGGUUGUAAAGCACUUUUGGCGGGAACGAAAAGGACUGUGCCAAUACCACGGUUCGAUGACGGUACCCGCAGAAUAAGCACCGGCUAACUACGUG
rnacentral:rRNA from 1 species